rnacentral:rRNA from 1 species
UAGGGAAUCUUCGGCAAUGGGGGGAACCCUGACCGAGCAACGCCGCGUGAGUGAAGAAGGUUUUCGGAUCGUAAAGCUCUGUUGUUAAGGAAGAACGAGUGUGAGAAUGGAAAGUUCAUGCUGUGACGGUACUUAACCAGAAAGGGACGGCUAACUACGUGCCAGCAGCCGCGGUAAUACGUAGGUCCCGAGCGUUGUCCGGAUUUAUUGGGCGUAAAGCGAGCGCAGGCGGUUAGAUAAGUCUGAAGUUAAAGGCAGUGGCUCAACCAUUGUAGUCUUUGGAAACUGUUUAACUUGAGUGCAGAAGGGGAGAGUGUAAUUCCAUGUGUAGCGGUGAAAUGCGUAGAUAUAUGGAGGAACACCGGUGGCGAAAGCGGCUCGCUGGUCUGUAACUGACGCUGAGGCUCGAAAGCGUGGGGAGCGAACAGG